UGCUUGCUCUCAAUAUGAAAGGAGGAGUGGCGGACGGGGGAGGAACACACUGGGUGACCUACCCAUCAGAGGGGGAUAACACUUGGAAACAGGUGCUAAUACCGCAUAACAGUUUAUGCCGCAUGGCAUAAGAGUGAAAGGCGCUUUCGGGUGUCGCUGAUGGAUGGACCCGCGGUGCAUUCCUAGUUGGUGAGGUAACGGCUCACCAAGGCCACGAUGCAUAACCGACCUGAGAGGGUGAUCGGCCACACUGGGACUGAAACACGGCCCAGACUCCUACGGGAGGCAGCAUUAGGGAAUCUUCGGCAAUGGACGAAAGUCUGACCGAGCAACGCCGCGUGAGUGAAGAAGGUUUUCGGAUCGUAAAACUCUGUUGUUAGAGAAGAACAAGGACGUUGGUAACUGAACGUCCCCUGACGGUAUCUAACCAGAAAGCCACGGCUAACUACGUGCCAGCAGCCGCGGUAAUACGUAGGUGGCAAGCGUUGUCCGGAUUUAUUGGGCGUAAAGCGAGCGCAAGCGGUUUCUUAAGUCUGAUGUGAAAGCCCCCGGCUCAACCGGGGAGGGUCAUUGGAAACUGGGAGACUUGAGUGCUCAAGAUGAGAGUGGAAUUCCAUGUGUAGCGGUGAAAUGCGUAGAUAUAUGGAGGAACACCACUGGCGAAAGCGGCUCUCUGGUCUGUAACUGACGCUGAGCUCGAAAGCGUGGGGAGCAAACAGGAUUAGAUACUCUGGUAGUCCACGCCGUAAACGAUGACUGCUAAGUGUUGGAGGGUUUCCGCCCUUCAGUGCUGCAGCAAACGGAUUAAACACUCCGCCUGGUGAGUACGACCGCAAGGUUGAAACUCACAGGAAUUGACGG
rnacentral:rRNA from 1 species